ACUUCUCUUUCCUUUUCUCUUCUUCUUACUUAUUAUAUAUGUGUUAUCAUAUUAAUGAACACAUUGUCCUAAAACACGGGGUAUAUAGGCUAGAAAAUCGUUGUUAAUCUCCCUUCGUUUGAAGGUAUGAAAGACACAUUCGGAUAGAAUAAGGCCACGUAUCCCAAAAAACACAAAACAAACUUUUAUUUUAAUUUAAACAAACAAACAAAUACGGACUCUUUAGAAUUAUAUCUAGUUAGGAUUCGUUGUGAGGACCAUGAAACAAAUCCAUUUCUGGACAUUGAGACUUCAAAGACUGGACAAUGAAUUAAAAGUUAAACUAAAAAGUGAAAUUGAAAACUUCACUUGAACGUAACAAACCUUUUUACUUUUGCUCUUUUUUUUCAAUAGAAGAAGUAUGACCAAAAACUUAGAAAGAAUGGAUAUCGAAGCCAAGACAGGUUAUAAAUGAUAGCGGUCCACCCCAGAACAAGUUAACAUCUUGUUGAACAUCUUCAACCAUGGGAUCAUUAAUCCUAGUCGGGAU
rnacentral:lncRNA from 1 species